rnacentral:rRNA from 1 species
UACAGAGGUCCCAAGCGUUGUUCGGAAUUCAUUUGGGGUACGGUAAAGGGUGUGUAGGUUGGACGCCGUAAGUCGGGUGUUGAAAUCUUACGGGGCUUAACUCCGAAACUGCCAUUCGAUACUGGCGGUCUUGAGGACUGGAUGAGGAGGACUGGAAUUCAUGGUGUAGCAGUGAAAUGCGCAGAUAUCAGGAGGAACACCGUGGCGAAGGCGGGAUCUCUGGGCCGAUACUGACGCUGAGGAGCGAAAGCGUGGGGAGCGAACAGG